rnacentral:lncRNA from 1 species
GCUGGAACAUAGACCCCACAACAAUCCCCUUUCAACUUCAUGGAUGGGGACAACACCCUAGGAUGGCAGAGCAACAGGGGGAAGGGACUUGGGAUGCAACUUAUCUGUCAGGAAACUGAGUGGUGAAGCAACUCACCCAAGGUCACUGUUAAGGGCAGAGUUAUGCCCACCCACCGGCCAAAAAUUUCCGAGUUCUGUCCCCCUCUCAGUACCUCAGAAGGUGACCUUAUUUGGGAGAUAGGUGACUCGGGAGAUAAGGGAUUAUGGGUAAAUAAGUUAAGACAAGGUCAUUAGGUUGGCCUAAAUUCAAUAUGACUAGUGUCCUUAUAAAGAGGGGAAAUUUGGACACCAAAUUUGCAUGUGCAGAGGAAAGACCAUGUGAAGACACAGGGAGAGGACAUCUACACAUCAAAGAAAGAGGUUUCGGAAAAAACCAGCUCUGCUCACACCUUGAUCUUGGCC